CAACCAAACCCCUGUGCACAUCUCUGGGGACUUCUGGUGGGUUCGCGCCUGCCGAGUCCCUGGCUUUACACAAACUCUUCUAUGUCUAUAGAAUGUUCAAGGACCUCGCGUCCUGUUAACAAAUAACAACUUUCAACAACGGAUCUCUUGGCUCUCGCAUCGAUGAAGAACGCAGCGAAAUGCGAUAAGUAAUGUGAAUUGCAGAAUUCAGUGAAUCAUCGAAUCUUUGAACGCACCUUGCGCCCUUUGGUAUUCCGAUGGGCAUGCCUGUUUGAGUGUCUUGAAAUCAUCAAACCCCCGGUUUUGCGAUCGCGGGGCUUGGACUUGGGGGCUCUGCUGCCGCGAGGCGGCUCCCCUUAAAUGCAUCGGUCGGGCCUACUGGGGCUCCGUCACCUGGGCGUUGUAUUACCCUCGCUCUGCCGACGUGCCUCAGCUUUUGCGCGCCCGACCCCGACCUGCCUCUGGAGCGGCGGUCAACACUCUUUGAGAUCUGACCUCAAAUCAGGUAGGACUACCCGCUGAACUUAAGCAUAUCAAUAAGCGGAGGAAAAGAAACUAACAAGGAUUCCCCUAGUAACUGCGAGUGAAGCGGGAAAAGCUCAAAUUUGAAAUCUGGCGGUUCCACCGUCCGAGUUGUAACCUGGAGAAGUGCUUUCCGUGCUGGACCGUGUACAAGUCCCUUGGAACAGGGC
rnacentral:rRNA from 1 species